GGAGGGGUGGCCGAGUGGUUUAAGGCGCCCGCUUGGAAAGCGUGUGUACGGGAAACCGUACCGUGGGUUCGAAUCCCACCCCCUCCGCCA
rnacentral:tRNA from 1 species